GAUAGCUCAGUCGGUAGAGCGGUGGACUGUUAAUCCAUGUGUCGCAGGUUCGAGCCCUGCUC
rnacentral:tRNA from 1 species